UACGUAGGGGGCAAGCGUUGUCCGGAUUUAUUGGGCGUAAAGAGCGUGUAGGCGGCCAUGCAGGUCCGCUGUGAAAACUCGAGGCUCAACCUCGAGAGGUCGGUGGAAACCGCAUGGCUAGAGUCCGGAAGAGGAGAGUGGAAUUCCGGUGUAGCGGUGAAAUGCGCAGAUAUCGGGAAGAACACCCGUGGCGAAGGCGGCUCUCUGGGACGGUACUGACGCUGAGACGCGAAAGCGUGGGGAGCGAACAGG
rnacentral:rRNA from 1 species